UACGUAGGUGGCAAGCGUUAUCCGGAAUUAUUGGGCGUAAAGCGCGCGCAGGUGGUUUCUUAAGUCUGAUGUGAAAGCCCACGGCUCAACCGUGGAGGGUCAUUGGAAACUGGGAGACUUGAGUGCAGAAGAGGAAAGUGGAAUUCCAUGUGUAGCGGUGAAAUGCGUAGAGAUAUGGAGGAACACCAGUGGCGAAGGCGACUUUCUGGUCUGUAACUGACACUGGAGGCGACGAAAGGCGUGGGGAGCAAAC
rnacentral:rRNA from 1 species